rnacentral:rRNA from 1 species
AGCGAACGCUGGCGGCAGGCCUAACACAUGCAAGUCGAACGGACCCUUCGGGGUUAGUGGCGGACGGGUGAGUAACACGUGGGAACGUGCCUUUAGGUUCGGAAUAGCUCCUGGAAACGGGUGGUAAUGCCGAAUGUGCCCUUCGGGGGAAAGAUUUAUCGCCUUUAGAGCGGCCCGCGUCUGAUUAGCUAGUUGGUGAGGUAAUGGCUCACCAAGGCGACGAUCAGUAGCUGGUCCGAGAGGAUGACCAGCCACAUUGGGACUGAGACACGGACCAAACUCCUACGGGAGGCAGCAGUGGGGAAUCUUGCGCAAUGGGCGAAAGCCUGACGCAGCCAUGCCGCGUGUAUGAUGAAGGUCUUAGGAUUGUAAAAUACUUUCACCGGUGAAGAUAAUGACUGUAGCCGGAGAAGAAGCCCCGGCUAACUUCGUGCCAGCCGCCGCGGUAAAAC